GGGGCCGUAGCUCAGCUGGGAGAGCGGUACGUUCGCAACGUACAGGCCGUGGGUUCAAGUCCCAUCGGCUCCA
rnacentral:tRNA from 1 species